UACAGAGGUCUCAAGCGUUGUUCGGAUUCAUUGGGCGUAAAGGGUGCGUAGGCGGCGCGGUAAGUCGGGUGUGAAAUCUCGGAGCUUAACUCCGAAACUGCAUUCGAUACUGCCGUGCUUGAGGACUGGAGAGGAGACUGGAAUUCAUGGUGUAGCAGUGAAAUGCGUAGAGAUCAUGAGGAAGACCAGUGGCGAAGGCGGGUCUCUGGACAGUUCCUGACACUGAGACAUGAAGGCCAGGGGAGCAAACGGG
rnacentral:rRNA from 1 species